CACCAGCUUGCUGGUGUGGAUUAGUGGCGAACGGGUGAGUAACACGUGAGUAACCUGCCCCUCACUCUGGGAUAAGCCUGGGAAACUGGGUCUAAUACUGGAUACGACCGAUCUCCGCAUGGAGUGUUGGUGGAAAGUUUUUGUGGUGGGGGAUGGACUCGCGGCCUAUCAGCUUGUUGGUGGGGUAAUGGCCUACCAAGGCGACGACGGGUAGCCGGCCUGAGAGGGCGACCGGCCACACUGGGACUGAGACACGGCCCAGACUCCUACGGGAGGCAGCAGUGGGGAAUAUUGCACAAUGGGCGAAAGCCUGAUGCAGCGACGCCGCGUGAGGGAUGACGGCCUUCGGGUUGUAAACCUCUUUCACCAGGGACGAAGCUAACGUGACGGUACCUGGAGAAGAAGCACCGGCUAACUACGUGCCAGCAGCCGCGGUAAUACGUAGGGUGCGAGCGUUGUCCGGAAUUAUUGGGCGUAAAGAGCUUGUAGGCGGUUUGUCGCGUCUGCUGUGAAAGACCGGGGCUUAACUCCGGUUCUGCAGUGGGUACGGGCAGACUAGAGUGUGGUAGGGGAGACUGGAAUUCCUGGUGUAGCGGGUGAAAUGCGCAGAUAUCAGGAGGAAACACCGAUGGCGAAGGCAGGUCUCUGGGCCAUUACUGACGCUGAGAAGCGAAAGCCUGGGGAG
rnacentral:rRNA from 1 species